rnacentral:rRNA from 1 species
AGAGAGAGACAUGCGUGCAUAUCAAUAAGCGGAGGAAAAGAAACUAACAAGGAUUCCCCUAGUAACGACGAGUGAAGCGGGAAGAGCUCAAAUUUGAAAUCUUAAAGGGUUUCCCUUUACGAAUUGUAGUUUAAAGAAGUGUUUUCUGUUGAGGUUUUGGUAAAAGUUCUUUUGGAAUAGGACAUCAUAGAGGGUGAGAAUCCCGUAUUUGACCUUUACUUUCAACUUUGUGAUACACUUUCAAAGAGUCGGAUUGUUUGGGAAUGCAGUCCAAAAUGGGUGGUAAAUUUCAUCUAAAGCUAGAUAUUGGCGAGAGACCGAUAGCGAACAAGUACCGUGAGGGAAAGAUGAAAAGAACUUUGAAAGGAGAGUUAAACAGUACGUGAAAUUGUCAAAAGGGAAGCGUUUGACACCAGUGUUGUUUUUCUGAAAAUCAAUUAAAGAACUGUUUAUGCUAAGCUGUUUAGACUUUAUCAGCUAUCUGUUUAGUUUUGAGCUUUUCUUUAAUGCACUUUUCAGUUAACAAGUCAACAUCAAUUUCUUUUGCUGUAAAAAAGCUUGAGGAAGGUGGCUUGAGAUUCGUCUUAAGUGUUUAUAGCCUCUUGCCUAUGCAGUCGGAGAGAUUGAGGUCUGUAGCGUAGAUCCUUCGGGGCUAAAUGCAUUUGUGCUAAGUUAUAACAUUUUAUAGACAACUUGUUGACUAUGAUUUGUCUUGUAGCUUACUCGCUUAUGUUAUUUUACCUACGCUUAGGAUGUGAUGUGAUACUGCGAGCA